CCUACGGGAGGCAGCAGUGGGGAAUAUUGCACAAUGGGCGAAACCCUGAUGCAGCAACGCCGCGUGAAGGAAGAAGGGUUUCGGCUCGUAAACUUCUAUCAACAGGGACGAAAGAAAUGACGUUACCUGAAUAAGAAGCCCCGGCUAACUACGUCCCAGCAGCCGCGGUACUACGUAGGGGGCAAGCGUUAUCCGGAAUUACUGGGAGUAAAGGGUGAGUAGGCGGCGUGUUAAGGCAGAUGUGAAAGCCUUGGGCUUAACCCGAGGAUUGCAUUUGGAACUAUCAAGCUAGAGUACAGGAGAGGAAGGCGGAAUUCCUGGUGUAGCGGUGAAAUGCGUAGAGAUUAGGAGGAACACCAGUGGCGAAGGCGGCUUUCUGGAAUGAAACUGACGCUGAGGCACGAAAGCGUGGGGAGCGAACAGGAUUAGAUACCCCAGUAGUC
rnacentral:rRNA from 1 species